CAAAGGUAGUGGAAGGUCUGAGGGGCGGAGGCCGCUGGAUGUAUUUGAGGGAGGAGGAGCGGUAGUGUAGUGGUGGUUUCGUAAGGUGUUCUAAGUUGUUCGUUAGGUUGGGCUGCUCUAGCUAGCUCGAGCUCUAGUCGCUCGCUCUUACCGCCCGUACCACAAGCCGAACCUCUUGGGCUACUACUGCCGCGAGGUCGUGGACGACCUGUAGGGUCUACCGCUCCGGCCGCCUCGGCCACGGCCGGCGCCGCUCUUCGUCCCGGGCUGCGCGCGGAUGCAGGCCCUACGCGCGCGGUACCGCCGGUGGGGCCGCCUGCACUUCCUCGACGGCCCGCGCAUGCGCAAGCACCACCUGUACGGCCCCGACCCAAGGCCGCUGUAGUUCCACGUCCACCUCCUGCUCGCCCACGACCACUAGUCGCCGCUCGCCUCGUCCCUCCUCCUCCUCCUGCGGUUCAUGGACGCCUACCUCGCGGCGUACCCGUUCGACUACGCGUUCAAGCACGAGGGGCUCUUGCGGCUGUACCUCUUCUAGAGGCGGCGCACGGCGCUGCCGCACGACUGGCAGUGGCAGCUCUUCGACGGCGGCGGGCUCGGGUUCUUCGGGUUCUGGUAGGUCCAGGUCCAACGGACUCGACCAUACGUAACACACGCGCAGCUUAGCUUCGUCUCAAACUCACCGACUCACCCAUGACUCAAAGGACACUACUACUCACUACCAAAGAGACAGAAAACUAGAGCAGACGAUCUCUCUCACACACAGCAUAGCUAAGCACGCGUGACCACUACCAAACUACAAAGCAAUUACCUUUACCCCUACUAGAGGCCGAAGCGGACUUAUUUUGUACGCUAAGAGAACCGG
rnacentral:rRNA from 1 species